UCUCUCCAUAACUGGAGAAGCAUGACUCAAAGUCAGAUCCUCUCAUUAUUCUAUCAAAGAAUUACCAUUCCCAAAUCACACCCCGCCUAUAUAAUAUUGUACGUAUAUUAUAUAAAUACACAAAAUCUCAACAUAACAUCUCCCCAAAACAAUCAUCAACUUCACAUCCUCUGUUUUCUCUCAACACAAAAAUCGAAUCAAUUCAGCAACUAAAACAGAGUACAGAUUACCAACAGCAACGACGACAUCAAAUGAAACCCAUGACGAUUCCAACGGUCAAAAUAAGCGAUGACGGUGUUGAGGAGCAGACACAUCGCCACAGAUCUGAUGCCAUAGAAGAUUGCCCACUAUUGAGAUCAUAUAGAGUGAGAUCAAAUGAAUUACCUUAGACUGUGAUUAGCAGACUUCAAUUUGUAUGGGGAACAGUGUCAAGCUGCUGUAUGGUACUCCCCCAUUGGCUCGGGGCCAAAAAAAAUUUGUGAUUUUCAGAGACGACCCUGAACCAAGAUAAAGGAUGGAUGACACCCACAAGAGUCUAGGGACACCAUCUGGUACUCCGAUCGGAAAAUUCAUUUGGGUUUGUGAACUCGAAGAGAUAAACGGUACUUUGGGUAAAAGUAUAUUCUCGGGUAGUUUGGGAACACUAUAGCAAUUGAUUUGGUUACUUUGAGUUCAAUUGAGAUAAAAAUAAGAUGACACUCCUUCA